GAGAGGAUGAUCAGCCACACUGGAACUGAGACACGGUCCAGACUCCUACGGGAGGCAGCAGUGGGGAAUAUUGCACAAUGGGCGCAAGCCUGAUGCAGCCAUGCCGCGUGUGUGAAGAAGGCCUUCGGGUUGUAAAGCACUUUCAGUCGUGAGGAAAGUGGUGUAGUUAAUAGCUGCAUUACUUGACGUUAGCGACACAAAAAACACCGGCUAACUCCGUGCCAGCAGCCGCKGUGUAUACGGAGGGUGCGAGCGUUUAUCCGGAAUACUGGGGGUAAAGCGCAUGCASGUGGGUUUUGUUAAGUCAKAUGUGAAAGCCGGGGGCUCACCCKCGGWAUAGCWUUUUGAAACUGGCAGACUAGAGUACUGUAGAGGGGGGUAGAAUUUCAGGUGUAGCGGUGAAAUGCGKAGAGAUCUGAAGGAAUACCGGUGGSGAWGGCSCCCCCCKGGACAGAUACUGACASUCAGAUGCGAAAGCGGGGGGAGCMAACAGGAUUAGAUAYCCUGGUAKUCCACGCYGUMAACGAUGUCUACKUGGAGGUUGUGSCCYUGAGCCGUGGYUUUCGGAGCUAACGCGUUAAGUAGACCGCCUGGGGAGURCGGUCGCAAGAUUAAAACUMCWAUGAAUUGACGGGGGCCCGCACAAGCGGUGGAGCAUGUGGUUUAAUUCGAUGCAACGCGAAGAACCUUACCUACUCUUGACAUCCAGAGAACUUUCCAGAGAUGGAUUGGUGCCUUCGGGAACUCUGAGACAGGUGCUGCAUGGCUGUCGUCAGCUCGUGUUGUGAAAUGUUGGGUUAAGUCCCGCAACGAGCGCAACCCUUAUCCUUGUUUGCCAGCGAGUAAUGUCGGGAACUCCAGSSMSACUGCCGGUGAUAAACCGGAGGAAGGUGGG
rnacentral:rRNA from 1 species